rnacentral:rRNA from 1 species
UACGAAGGGGGCGAGCGUUGUUCGGAUUUACUGGGCGUAAAGGGCGCGCAGGCGGCUCAUUUUGUCAGGCGUGAAAGCCCCGGGCUUAACCUGGGAACUGCGUUUGAUACGGAUGGGCUAGAGUUCGGGAGAGGAGAGUGGAAUUCCCAGUGUAGAGGUGAAAUGCGUAGAUAUCUGGAGGAACACCGGUGGCGAAGGCGGCAUCCUGGACCAUGACUGACACUGAAAAGCGAAAGCCAGGGGAGCAAACGGG